rnacentral:misc_RNA from 1 species
GAUGAAGAACGCAGCGAAAUGCGAUAAGUAAUGUGAAUUGCAGAAUUCAGUGAAUCAUCGAAUCUUUGAACGCAUCUUGCGCUCCUUGGUAUUCCGAGGAGCAUGCCUGUUUGAGUGUCAUUUAACUUCUCAACCACAUUGGAUAUUUUUUUUCCGAUGCCGGCUUGGAUGUGGGGGUUGUUUGCAGGCUUUUUGUAACAAAAAAGGUCGGCUCCCCUGAAAUGUAUUAGUGGUAUCUGAGGCUAUUACUAUUAGGUGUGAUAAUUAUCUAUGCCUUUUGGGUAUGCCGCAUGAACAGAUUAUGCUGCUUCUAACGAAAACUAUUUUGAUGAAUUUGACCUCAAAUCAGGUAGGACUACUCGCUGAACUUAAGCAUAUCAAUAAGCGGAGGA